rnacentral:rRNA from 1 species
AUACGGAGGAUCCGAGCGUUAUCCGGAUUUAUUGGGUUUAAAGGGUGCGCAGGCGGCCAUUUAAGUCAGCGGUUAAAUCGUGGGGCUCAACCCCAUUCUGCCGUUGAUACUGGGUGGCUUGAUUGCGGUCGAGGUUGGCGGAAUUCGUUGUGUAGCGGGGAAAUGCAUAGAUAUGACGAAGAACACCGAUUGCGUAGGCAGCUGACCAGACCGCAAAUGACGCUCAUGCACGAAAGUGCGGGGAUCGAACAGGAUUAGAUACCCUGGUAGUCCGCACAAUAAACGAUGAAUACUUGUUUUCGGCGAUAUAAUGUCGGAGGCAAAGCGAAAGCGAUAAGUAUUCCACCUGGGGAGUACGCCGGCAACGGUGAAACUCAAAUGAAUUGGCGGGG